AUACCAUAAUGAGGACACCUUCUUAGCAAUUCCUUGAAUCUUUCCCAAGCCUCGUACAAAUUUUCAUCUUCCAGUUGAUGGAAAGAAGUAAUCUCAUUCGCAACUUU
rfam:Citrus sinensis cultivar Ridge Pineapple sweet orange scaffold00458_contig_25, whole genome shotgun sequence.